GAGGUGUUUCAUAGGUGCUACA
rnacentral:miRNA from 1 species